AUACUAGCUCUUGUAAUUUAAUAGUGUUGGCGAAAGCUUUUAUGAUAGUAAUCUAUGAAGGGCGUCAUUUACAAACAAAUUACGUCAGCAAGCAAAUAACACACCACACCAAAUGUUCAAUAUAGAGAUUUGAAUCGCGCUUGAAUUGCGAAAAUAUUGUGAAAUAGAAGGUAUUUUUUGAAGUAAAUAGCCACAGCUGCCACUUUGAACUUCUUGUGCGAUCGGGUAACGUCUUGGGGGUUAAGUCGUAAAAUUUAGAAUAAUUAGAGCUAUAAAAAAGGCCGUCUAAAACCCGAGUACAUAUGAAUAAUAGCAAUAAUUUCCAGACAACAGAGAAAUUUCUUUUUAAAUCUAAAUUUAUGAAAAAACUGUUGACUUUUCCCUUUAAAAUGGCGGCUUUUCGCCAAAAAGAAACCCGAUGCUUUUASAUAUUUAUUCAAAAAAUGCCAAGUUGCWAUAACCAGGUGUGACGUAUGGGUCCACCGACUUAAAGGAUGAACUUGGACAGAUGUUCUAGCCACACAAAGCAUCAUGGGUAAMAAAGUCGAGUAAAAUGAUAGCCAGUCAUUUGGGAAUUAAAUGAAUAAAUUAUCCCAGUCAUUUAAGAAGGUAUCUAAUCCAGAGACGCUCAUUUGCUCAACGGAAGCGUCCACGACACUUCAUUCGCUCUAGUGGAAUCGGUAUCUUCCCAAAAAAMUCCUUUAAAAUCGGAAAUUCGCUAGCGAGAAAUAGAGUUACUUUCCGUUGAUAACACCGUCAGUUGUGAAGUUUAAUUUGGUCAGUUUACAAAGCUGAGAUCAUUGUGAAUAAGAUGCCUAGAACAUUCCUUGUAGUGCUAAUUUAUAUAUUAGCGGGCUUCCUGUGUAGCACGUCUGCYUUGCGAAAAGUAAAUGAAGCAAGUGGGAUCAAAACUGAUGGAUUUUUUUGUGGCGAGCAAAUUUUAGAUAUCUAUAACACAGUUUGCAAUCCACGAAGUAUAAGAAGAAAAAGGUCACUAACAGUGGAUAAAAGAGAAGCGAAAAAAUUUAUUCGACAAAGGCGCUCAGGAUACACAAUAGUAGAAGAAUGCUGUACUGAGAGUUGCAAACUCGAGGAGGUCAACGAAUACUGUCAUCUCUUUCGUGGGCGAUGACUCGUUGAACAUGGAAUUAAAGACUUUUUAGAGAAGAUACGUACAUCCAAUUGUUAAAAAUUAUCAAUUUAUAGAGAAUUCAAUAGUGAAGAUGUAUGGGAAAGCAAUUCGAUUAACUGAAAAUAUUGCAAAUGUUUACUUAAACUGACACGGAAUGUAGGCUAUCCUUCGUCACAUCCGAACUCUUCCUUCGUUAUUCCCUCGGUAUUCCUUCGGUGGUCCUUCGGUAUUCCUUCGGUAGUCCGGAAAAGGGUCCGGUUGUGACGCAAAUAUGAACAAAAUCAUUCGUAAAUCAAUAGUGUUCGUUAAAUAGAGGUUUAUAUUUAUACAGAAACUGUAAUGAUGAGCGAGAUGCGUACCCUCCAUAUAUCGGACACUCWARCUAGCUCCGCCUUCAAUUAGUCCAUAAAAAGUUAUUGAUUUCUCGCUUACCCAAACAUCUUCGCGGUCUUAGCGUAUGAUUGUGAAAAUUAUUCCACCACAAUGAUUCUUGAAUAUGUUGUAGUGAAUAGCUAAAGUGGCUGGCUGAUAUCGUUAAAACARCAUUGAAUAUACAUAGAAAUGAGAAUCUAAUGGAUGUAAACAAUACUAGAAGCUGAUUGUAGUAAAUGGAUGACGUCACCAUGACGUCAUGCACCAGAUAAGAAGUCGAACAGUUUGAAGAAGAUUAAUAUUAUGUUAUUGACAUUAUCGCAAUAGAAAUAUAAACUUAUUACGUUUAUGUUAGAUAUUUACUGUGCUUUUAACUGAUCGCAUCAUAUCAUUUUAAAAUUUCGWUYAAGGAACUUUUUUAGCAAUGCGGCCGCCAUUUUGAAUAAGAAAGAAAUUAUGGRAUAUGUUAAGAUUUAAAACUUGGAUUAUCGAUUCAAAACAUCAAUCUUGUCAAUCAUAAUUUCUCGUUAGACGUACCCGUACUUUCUAUAGUUUUUUUUUAAUAAAACAACAACGAAAUUCAAGAUGGCGACCAUGUUGCAGAAAAGGUUUCUUGUGGAAAAGAGCGCUAUCAGAGAAACAGUCUCUAUAUAUCGAGAGAGUAAAGUUAACGAUGGAUUAGUAAAGGUUUAUAGCACCCACACUAUAAAUAUAAAUAUAUAUAUAUACACACCAAAGGAAAUAUUAUUUAUAUAACUAUGUCGAGAAUAUAUUUAACGUUGUUUAUCGCAACGAGUAAUCCAUUAAAAUCUUUGCAUAGCUGUUUCAAA